rnacentral:SRP_RNA from 1 species
AAUCCAGUCCCGUGCGGCGGAGACCUCCGAACCCUGUCAGGCCCGGAAGGGAGCAGCAGUAAGGAGAAUUCUCCGGGUGCCACGGGGGAGCUGGGUUUCC